rnacentral:rRNA from 1 species
AUUGAACGCUGGCGGCCGGCCUCACACCUGCAAGUCGAGCGGAGCGGCGGACGGGUGAGUAAUGCCUAGGAAUCUGCCUGGUAGUGGGGGCUAACGUCGGGAAACGGGCGCUAAUACCGCAUACUAUCAGAUGAGCCUAGGUCGCAUUAGCUAGUUGGUGGGGUAAAGGGCUACCAAGGCGACGAUCCGUAACUGGUCUGAGAGGAUGAUCAGUCACACUGGAACUGAGACACGGUCCAUACUCCUACGGGAGGCAGCAGUGGGGAAUAUUUGACAAUGGGCGAAAGUCUGAUCCAGCCAGGCCGCGUGGGUGAAGAAGGUCUUCGGAUUGGAAAGCACUGUAAUUUGGGAGGCGUUACCAACAGAAUAAGCACCGGCUAACUUCGUGCCAGCAGCCGCGGUAAUUC